UACGUAGGGACCAAGCGUUGUUCGGAUUUACUGGGCGUAAAGGGCGCGUAGGCGGCGUGACAAGUCACUUGUGAAAUCUCCGGGCUUAACCCGGAACGGUCAAGUGAUACUGUCGUGCUAGAGUACAGAAGGGGCAACUGGAAUUCUCGGUGUAGCGGUGAAAUGCGUAGAUAUCGAGAGGAACACCUGCGGCGAAGGCGGGUUGCUGGGCUGAUACUGACGCUGAGGCGCGAAAGCCAGGGGAGCGAACGGG
rnacentral:rRNA from 1 species